GGUCGCGUCAAAAUGACUGUGAGCUAUGUUAACCGGUCAGAAAUUCAUAUCACAGCCAUUUUGACGAGUUCGA
rnacentral:pre_miRNA from 13 species